UAAUACGUAGGAUGCAAGCGUUAUUCGGAUUUACUGGGCGUAAAGCGCACCGAGGUGGCUUCUUAAGUUGGAUGUAAAAUCUCCCGGCUUAACUGGGAGGCGCCAUUCAAAACUGAGAGGCUUGAGGUCAGCAGGGGAAAGUGGAAUUCCCGGUGUAGUGGUGGAAUGCGUAGAGAUCGGGAGGAACACCAGUGGCGAAAGCGGCUUUCUGAGCUGCACCUGACACUCUAGUGCGAAAGCGUGGGGAGCAAACAGGAUUAGAUACCCUGGUAGUCCACGCCCUAAACGAUGGAUACUAGGUGUGGGAGGUAUUGACCCCUUCCGUGCCGAAGCCAACGCGUUAAGUAUCCCGCCUGGGGACUACGGCCGCAAGGUU
rnacentral:rRNA from 1 species